GAGGCUUCAGCAUCGGAGUCGUCUGAGCCGUCCAGGAUGGAGUCCAUGGCGCCCCGGACCCUCCUCCUGCUGCUCGCGGGGGCCCUGGCCCUGACCGAGACCCGCCCCCUGACCGAGACCCGGGCGGGCUCCCACUCCCUGAGAUAUUUCUACACCGCCGUGUCCCGGCCCGAACUCGGGGAGCCCCGCUUCAUCGCCGUGGGCUACGUGGACGACACGCAGUUCGUGCGCUUCGACAGCAACGCCACGAACCCGAGGGUGGAGCAGCGGACGGCAUGGAUUCGGCAGAUAGAGCCCGAGUACUGGGAGCAGCAGACACAGGGCAUCAAGAACACCGCACAGGAUUACCGCGUGAACCUUCAGAACCUGCGCGGCUACUACAACCAGAGCGAGGCCGGCUCUCACACCAUCCAGGUGAUGUACGGCUGCGAGAUCGGGGCGGACGGGCGCCUCCUCCGCGGGUACUGGCAGUAUGCCUAUGAUGACAAGGACUACCUCGCCCUGAAUGAGGACCUGCGCUCCUGGACCGCGGCUGACAUGGCGGCUCAGAUCAGCAAGCGCAAGUUCGAGGCAGCGGGUUAUGCUGAGUACAUCAGGGCCUACCUGGAGGGCGAGUGCGUGGAGUGGCUGCGCAGAUACCUGGAGAUGGGAAAGGACACUCUGCAGAGAGCAGACCCACCCACAGCACAUGUGACCCACCACCCAGUCUCUGACCAGAAGGCCACCCUGAGGUGCUGGGCCCUGGGCUUCUACCCCAAGGACAUCACACUCACCUGGCAGCGCGAUGGGGAGGACCUGACCCAGGACACAGAGCUGAUAGAGACCAGGCCUGCAGGGGAUGGAAGCUUCCAGAAGUGGGCAGCUGUGCUGGUGCCUUCUGGAGAGGAGCAGAGAUACACGUGCCAUGUGGUGCAUGAGGGGCUGCCUGAGCCCCUCACCCUGAGAUGGGAGCCCCUUAUUGUCCCUAUCCCUCUCAGAGCCUCCUCAGCCCACUGUGCCCAUGUGGGGAGUCAUCACUGGCCUGGUCCUCCUGGCAGCUGUGCUCAUUGGAGCUGUGGUCACUGUUGUGAUGAAGAGGAAGCGCUCAGGUGGGAAAGGAGGGAGCUACACUAAGGCUGCAGGUGGGGACAGUGCCCAGGGCUCUGACUCCUCUCUGAAAGUUUGAAAGUGUGAGACAACCGCCUUGUUGAGACAGACCUGCUGAAGUCCCCAUCUUGGUUUUCUUCAAAAAGCCCUGCCCUCCCUUCCUGCCAAGGCAUCUGAGUGUGUUCCUGUGGGCACAGUGUGAGGUGGGAGCCUGGCCCUCCCAGCCCAGCACGGGCACCUCUGUCCCUGUCUCAGGUGGAUCAUCUGCUGCA